CCCCUCCCUCCCUCCUUCUCCAUUGCUGCAGCUCCCCUUCGUGGUGGCUGUCGCUCCCCCUGCAGCAGCCCCUCCUCUGCUCUCCAUGGACGCCAGCCAUGGCAGCCCCCUAUGCUGCUGCGUGAUGGCUGGAGGUGGAGGUAGAAGAAGACUCCAUGAGGCUAUGAUUGGUACCUCCUUGUUUUGGUUGAUGGUGUGACUUGGCCUUCAUCUCUGCCACCGGGAUAGAUGGUCGAGAGGGUUACUGCUUCCGCAGGAGAGGACCAGGAGGAGUAGCGUGGCCAGGCUUCACCAUGUUACUCGGUUUUCUCCGUUAGUUAUUUCUGCUGCAUUAAAAUUAUGGCUACUAUUUCUGAAACUUUGAUAAUGUAAUCACUAAUGAUACUUCUUAAAUUUGUGGUAUUAUUCUUUA